AGGUCGGUAGUUCAGCGUCUAGAACAACGGUCUCCAAAACCGUAGACUUGGGUUAGAGUCCCAACUGGCCUG
rnacentral:tRNA from 1 species